UCCUGAUAGCUCUGAUGGUAAAGCAUCUGUUUACAGUGCAGGAGACCCAGGUUCGAUCCCUGGGUCAGGAA
rfam:Ovis aries breed Texel chromosome 10, whole genome shotgun sequence.